GUAUGAGCAUUCUCCAGGGAAAGGAUGACAUAUUUUUGGACCUGAAACAGAAAUUCUGGAACACCUAUAUGGCUGGAGUGCAGUAGUGUGAUCACAACAACUCAAACAACUCACCGCAGCCUCGAACUCCUGGGCUCAAGUGAUCCUCCUGCUUCAGCCUCCUGAGUGGCUGGAACUUCAGGUGUACACCACCUGCAGUGGAGGUGGAGGCCGGAAAGGUCGCACCAAGAGAGAAGCUGCUGCCAACACCAACCGCCCCAGCCCUGGCGGGCACGAGAGGAAACUGGUGACCAAGCUGCAGAAUUCAGAGAGGAAGAAGCGAGGGGCACGGCGCUGAGACAGAGCUGGAGAUGAGGCCAGACCAUGGACACUACACCCAGCAAUAGAGACGGGACUGCGGAGGAAGGAGGACCCAGGACAGGAUCCAGGCCGGCUUGCCACACCCCCCACCCCUAGGACUUAUUCCCGCUGACUGAGUCUCUGAGGGGCUACCAGGAAAGCGCCUCCAACCCUAGCAAAAGUGCAAGAUGGGGAGUGAGAGGCUGGGAAUGGAGGGGCAGAGCCAGGAAGAUCCCCCAGAAAAGAAAGCUACAGAAGAAACUGGGGCUCCUCCAGGGUGGCAGCAACAAUAAAUAGACACGCACGGCAGCCACAGCUUGGGUGUGUGUUCAUCCUUGUUCUUUGUGUGUUUUUGUUCGGGCAUGUGUGUGCUUGCCUGUGCCUGCACAUUCAUGAGCCUGAGAGAGCAUCUUUGAUGUGUAUUUGUGUUUGGUGUAUGUAUCUGGGGCAGGGAGUGUUCCUGCUCUUGCAGGGUCUACGCUGUGAAUGCAGCUUUUGGUUUGUUUGCUUUUGCUUGCAUAUAUUUUAGUGCAUACAUUUCUGUGGGCUCCUACGUAGUGGAAAGGAAUUUCUUCUGCUUUUUUGCGAUACUGCCCAUGAAACACGGCCCUCCCCAGCACCUGUUUUUGUUGAUUGUGUCC
rnacentral:lncRNA from 1 species